rnacentral:rRNA from 1 species
AGCAGCCGCGGUAAUUCCAGCUCCAAUGGCGUAUAUUAAAGUUGUUGCAGUUAAAAAGCUCGUAGUUGAAUUUCGAGAUCAAUUUGUCGGUCGUGCCUCGGUACGUACUGGCAUUAUUGAUUUCUCCCUUCUGAAGAACCGCGAUGUCAUUAAUUUGGUGUCGCGGGGAAUCAGGACUGUUACUUUGAAAAAAUUAGAGUGUUUAAAGCAGGCGCACGCUUGAAUACAUUAGCAUGGAAUAAUGAAAUAGGACGUUUGAUUCUAUUUUGUUGGUUUCUAGGAUCGACGUAAUGAUUAAUAGGGAUAGUUGGGGGCAUUAGUAUUCAAUUGUCAGAGGUGAAAUUCUUGGAUUUAUUGAAGACUAACUACUGCGAAAGCAUUUGCCAAG